rnacentral:rRNA from 1 species
CUACGGGAGGCAGCAGUGGGGAAUAUUGCACAAUGGGCGAAAGCCUGAUGCAGCAACGCCGCGUGAGUGAAGAAGGCCAUCGGGUCGUAAAACUCUUUUCUUGAGGAAGAAUAUUGACGGUACUCAAGGAAUAAGCCCCGGCUAAUUACGUGCCAGCAGCCGCGGUAAUACGUAAGGGGCAAGCGUUAUCCGGAAUCACUGGGCGUAAAGGGUGCGUAGGUGGUCAAAUAAGUCAGAAGUGAAAGGCUAUGGCUCAACCAUAGUAAGCUUUUGAAACUGUUUGACUUGAGUGCAGGAGAGGAAAGUGGAAUGCCUAGUGUAGCGGUGAAAUGCGUAGAUAUUAGGAGGAACACCAGUGGCGAAGGCGACUUUCUGGACUGUAACUGACACUGAGGCACGAAAGCGUGAGGAGCGAACAGGAUUAGAUACCCGGGUAGUC